UUUUGGUUAAGUAGGUACUCUUUUAUUUUUCAUGAUAUUUUGAAGUUGGUAAUAACGACAAAAAAAUUGGCACCACUGUUUCAAAAUAUUUCCACAGUUUCAGAAAUUAUUAUAUGUUUGGAUAUUUGGGCAUGAUUAAUGAGAUGAAAUAUUUCGAAGAGAAAUUUUAAAAACACGAAUUUAUCCAAAAAUAUAAGCGAUUUGUAAAUUUUAAAUCGCUCAAUAGAACCUCCAAAAUGGUCUAUAGGGUUUUGGCGGCGAUAGUAGUAGAUCGAAUACUUUUAUUCGGGACUGAGCCAUUUUUCCUAAAACAGGUUGGUUAGCAACCGGAGCGAAUGCCCCCACUUUGAGGGGCCCAUAUCUCUCCUCCUGGGGGACUUCUGGAGCUAAAUUGUUUUCCAAGUAACUUUCAACUCAAAAUGAAGGUCUCUACUGAAUUUAGUCAAAGUCUGCUGUUCUUGAUAAUACCUAUACUUACAAUGAUAGGUAUUAUAGUUAGUUUUUAUCUGCUUGUUUCUGAAACUUUUUCUUUCAUAUCUAAUUAAUGUACGAUUAAUUAAUCGCGUAAGUGGAGAUUUUGCUGGGCAUUGCUUCCUGUAUUAAUUCUUCUCCGAAAAGCUAAACUGCGUAAAUACGAAAAUAUACAUAUAACAGCAACUGAACUGGAUGGAAUUUCCUGAAAAUUUGCCAACUCAGCGUCUAGUUUUAUGCAUCGUCAAGCAGUGCUUCAGUUUCUGCUAUUUACUUGUACAGUAAUAUCAUUUGUCUGGAUUACUGCAAAAAAUACUCAUUUUGCAUUACGUUAAAUGUCAUAAAUGAGAUAACGAGUAGCGAAGUCGACUAAAAUAUUCGAGUAUAAUGAAAUGAGCGAAUAAAAGAAAACAAAAAAUUUUUAAAAUGUAUUUUAAGUUGAACGCGUUACUUGAUGACAGAUCUUACUCGUGAGUACUUAGUACAUCUCUGGUGAAGUGUUGAAGCGAUUAUCUGAAAUGAAAAAAAUGUAGAUUUCUAGGAAUAGGUACGUAUAGAAUAGGUAAUGUAACUCGAAACCCAAUCAAUAAACUGUAUUGAAAAAAAAUCUUGUGACAGCUUUCUCAGUAUAUAAAGCCAAUUGUUUAUAAGAAUAAUAAGCUUACUGAGUAAGUCUAAGUAUAUCUGAAUAAGUAAUAUUCUUUACCAAGAAACGUGUACGUGAGCAGAUAAACGUAACAUUUGUGACGAAUAAAAGAGCAAUUAUGCAAUUGUACGAAAUCGCCAUUGGAUGUAUAUGUUUUCUGUUUUGUUUAAUCAGACAUUUCGUUCAAGGUUACCACACACACAUAGUCACACACUCACACACACAGCACAGAAGCAAUUUGUAGCCAGAGAAUUUUUUUGCCACGAAAAUCAUAUUAUAGAUACUAUACCGCGUUUAUGAAUUUUUUGGCCGAUCGAUAAUUUUAAUAAAUGUUUACAAGUGUGUUCCGAAUGUUAUUUGUUACUUUCCAAGGAUAUCAUAGGCUAUAUAAUACGUUCACGAAUUGGAAAAUAAUUAAUCUGAAAAUGUCAAUAUUGACAUUAUUACACGAUAAAAUUCGUUUCCCUUAUAGUCGUAGUCCUACGUAGGUAGUGAUAUCCGAAUGUCGAUAAUUUUUCAUUUUUAUCGAAAGGUACUGUAAAGACUGUAUCUACCUUUUAUUCGCACCUGCGGUGCUAAUGUCUUACAUGGUCUAACUUCACCCUAACGACCUAGUUAGACCUAUACCUAGUGCUACGCACAGAUAGGCACUGGCGAUUUACCGCCUCGUAUACCUACUCUUCGGAGAUAAAUAUGAGAUGAGAAAUUAUACACUUAGAAUAAUAUGAAUAAAAUGAAUACUCGGACGACUAUAACGUUACAUUAGCUUUAUUGGUUAUUAAGCAUUAUAUGUAAAUAGUCUGAUUAUAUUACGUAAAUAGAAUUACGAUUUGAUUUAAAGGAAGCGAGUACAUGUAGUCGCAAAUGUGUGUUAAAAACACCACCCAGGGACAAGGGCAUUCAUGCCGGAUAGGGCAGGUCCAGUAUGAAUGACUCUAAGAAGAGAAUUUAGAGAUGCUGCAGUUCAUCUCUUGAGUAACCACGAUCCGAUCCGAUAGUCCAUUACGUAAAAGAUAUUCCAUAUCCCAGUAAUUAUAAGGUGGAAAGUACGUGCUCCAUACGUCGAACGUACUGAUAGGGCUCCGCACCUCGACCUAUCUAUCGAAUGGAAACUAAGCUCUCGCUUAGUGAGUCCGUGAUUGACUGAAGUUAUGAUCGGAUAACGUGAAACACUUCACUAACGCGAACUAAACCGCUAGAUAGCGUGGUUACGUAAGAGAAUUGAGCAAAAGGUAGAAGGAGAACAAUUUUCCCUCACCUAAGCGACGGAAAAUGGCGCAAUUCCUCCCUUUACAUUGCCCCGAGUGAUUACUUAUAGGAAUAUGUAACCACUCUAACAACUAAAAAGGGAGAAAGUCUUAUGUGCCCUAUCCUUUGCCCCGGGUGUUUACAUGUUACUAUUGAAAUAAAUAAAUUGAACAAAAUAAUAAAAUAAACAUCUUCUUAUCAACUGUGACACAGUAAAAAGCAGUAAUAAUAAAAAAAAUGUAGAAGAAGACGAGAGGAAAAAAAAAAUUGUAUCCAACUUCUGGAAAAAUUAAAGAUUAAAAACGUAAAAUAAAGUGAAAUAAUAUCUAAACAGUAUUAUCUGUAAAAAAUAAAGAAAAGUCACCUUACAUCGUAUGAAUCAAAGUACCGAAGGCAAAUCAAAAGUGCUUAAUGGACAUACAUUAGUGGUGAAAACUAUUGACUAUUACAGUAUGUAUAAAUUUCGUACAUUAUUAUGUCAUUUUAUUCUAUGACUAAUAUGAAUUUAUUUAUUGUUUCAGGUUCCAUGUGAUGAGCUGUAGAUCGAUUUCAUGUUGCAAUGUCUGUUUCAUUCCGGGAAGUAUGAAUUACGUAAGGUUGAUAAGGUUCUAGAUUUUCGAUACUUUGUAACGUGAUUUCGUAUUUACAGAUGUUUACUCAGCAAGAAGAGGUAGUAAACCCAAAACAGCCUCCAGAAUGAUACGGUGAUCAAGAAAAGGACACUUAUCGAUUAUCUUUUCCGGUAACGUUCGAUCUAGUAUACUUUCAAGCUGUUUUAUAUAGUUGGUGUUAUGUGUAUCUUUCUUCGAGAUGCUGAUAGCUUCUAGCCAAUUUCUAAAUUUCUUCGUUUUAUCACUAUGUACCGUGUGUUUUAUAGGUGGUAUGACAUAGAUUUUCUUUACGCCUGAAGUGCUCAACGUCUUGAUCAGCGCAUUAAAAUCGUCUCUUAAUUUUUCUUCGUUGGCGUUUUCAUGAAGAUCUUUAUGACCUAUCGAUAUCAGCACCUUUUUAGGUAAUUUUGUUACGUUUUUUGAAAUUGAUCUAUUUAGAUCUGUUGUUGAUAUAAAACCAUUUACGUAAUCAUUAUAUUCUAGUUUUUCAGUAUAAGCUUGAUCACCGGCUAUCGCAAAAUGGACCAUUUGAUGUACCAGGCCAUCGCCCAGCAUCCAGUACUGCUGCAAAAAGAAAAUAGUCUCCGUUCCUUUAUUUCGUAACGUAAGUGUAGCUCCGGUUGUGUAUAGGUUAUAUCGAAACUUUCUACACGUCGAACCGAAUUCAUCAGGUAUGGAUGUUUUUAGUGUCAUUCUUCUGAUUUCUUCUUGAAAAAUCUUUCUGGUUACUGGUAAAUGAACUACUUGUUCUUUUUUGUCAUAGGUCGAGAUUGUUAGUCGAUUUCGGUAAUUUUUUACGUCACGAAUCGCUCCAAAAUGUCCUGGCUUGAGAGGGCUACGAGUUUGGUUGUUAUCUAUAAUGGACUCGAACUUAUUCUGUUCAUAUUUCGUUCUAUAUCGAUUGAUAGCAUUUCGUCGGAGACUUGCGGCGUAUUUGAAUCAUAGUUUUGCUGGUUUUGGUUGGCGAUGAUAGUUUUUUCGGUGGUGAUUUCUUCGGUGAAGGUUUAGCAGGUGUUCAUGUUUCCAAUUCGUAUCCUCGUCCGAUGUGUCUUCGUAUUUCGGUUCGAAUUGCGAUUCAUCGAUUUCUUUUUCGUUAGAUGUUGAUUCUAGCGGGUUCUGUUCUUCAUCGCUUAAAGGUUGUAUAAAUUCAUCGAUCGGAUUGUCAUACUUGUGUUCCGGUGUUACGUUAUCGAUUGGUUCACAUUUUUUCAGGUAUAUGAUUUUUUCUACUGAUGCUUUUACUCGAUCAUUUAGAUGUUCUACGUCGGAGUUUAAUUUAGCGAAUUCGUUCAUAUAAUCGUUAUUUU